GGAGCGUAGAGGUGGGCGAUGGGAACCAGCAGACCUGGGUGGCUGGGAUAAUGAGGAGCCACUGUCGCCCAGAGUGGAGUGCUGAGUUGUGGGGAUGUGCCGAUCUACCGAACUAGCAGAAAGUCUGUCGAGAGGAGACCCAAACCCUGGGAAACUUCUUUUCUUCUUGGUCUCAAUCACGUCAUUUUCCAGAGACACUAGCUCAUCAAGAAGCAGCAGCUUAGCUGCCAGGUCAGUGGCUGACUUCUCUUCGCUGGAUGCGGAAUGUGCUUCCAUGCCUAAUACUAUGGAAGAGUCAAAGGGCUGCAAAAGAAGAGGGGAUGGGUUUGCUCGAUAUUUCUGGUUCAGGGAGCCAGUCAGAAAUCAUUAAAGAAAUGGAGUUUACAAAUAUCUCAUUAGGUUGGAUGGUCAUGGAUUGGAUGAGGAAAUGGAACCCACUGCUAAGGAUAGAAAGGAUGCCCCUGAAUCGCUGCAUUAUACUGCAAUAUUUGUAAAGUGUGUAAUCUGGAACGAAUGGGCUUCCCUUGAUCUUAACAAGACAUCAGGGAAAUUCUGCAAGUCCAUCUACAUGUAGAGCUAUGUGAACUGUAUGCACUCCACAU